ensembl:lncRNA
CUGUCCCUUGUCUUGGUUCAUUCUGACCUCACCAGGGUGAUGGCAUUGGAGUGGGGCCUGCGGGCUAAGGAUUUGAACACAAGCAAAUGAAUGAUGAAAAUCCACUUUCUGGUGCUCUUUGCGCUUCAGGACACAGACUCGUCUCUGGAAAAUGCAUUCCUUGGUCAGUAAUGUAAGGCACAGAAAUUAUGCCUUUGUGGUCAAUAGCAGGUGAGCAACUCUGGCCCCUUGUGGAGUCAGAUGGACAAGAAUGCAAACAGCCAAACAGAUGGAUAAUUUCAGCACCUUGUGGUCCCUUGGGGUUGUACGGCUGGAAGACAUUUUCAGCCUCACGUAAUAAAAAUGAUGGACAGUCACUCAGCCUGCA